rnacentral:rRNA from 1 species
GACGAACGCUGGCGGCGUGCUUAACACAUGCAAGUCGAACGGAAAGGCCCCUUUGGGGGUACUCGAGUGGCGAACGGGUGAGUAACACGUGAGUAACCUGCCCUUGACUUCGGGAUAACUUCAGGAAACUGGGGCUAAUACCGGAUAGGAAUCCUUGCUGCAUGGUGGGGGUUGGAAAGCUUCGGCGGUUUUGGAUGGACUCACGGCUUAUCAGCUUGUUGGUGGAGUAGUGGCUUACCAAGGCUUUGACGGGUAGCCGGCCUGAGAGGGCGACCGGCCACAUUGGGACUGAGAUACGGCCCAGACUCCUACGGGAGGCAGCAGUGGGGAAUAUUGCACAAUGGGCGGAAGCCUGAUGCAGCAACGCCGCGUGCGGGAUGACGGCCUUCGGGUUGUAAACCGCUUUCAGCAGGGGCGAAGCUUGUGGUGACGGUACCUGCAGAAGAAGCACCGGCUAACUACGUG